GCAAUGUUUGAGGCGCUGGGAUCGAGAUUUUAUUUUAAUGCAUUGAGUCAAGUCCGCCAGACACUGCUGAGCUCACCACUAGGAGCACGGAUACUUAAAGAAACAACAACAGAUAAAAUCAGACAGUCGUUCCUUCCUAUCCUGCUGACUGGUCUGAUAUUAUCAUGUGCCCUUGGAUUAAUGUCCUAACUAGCUUUAUUGUCUUGGAUUCCAUUACAUGGGCUCAUGAUGAUGGUGAUGAUGAUGUUGAUGAUGAUGAUAAUGUAAUCAUAAUUUUUUAUGUUUAGUUUUAGGUCAGCAUAUUUUUGAUGAUGAUGGUGUUGACUUGAUGUAUUUGAUACGGUACUUAACUUCUAUCUAGGUUUUACUUUGUACUAUUGCUGGUGCUAAUGUUGAUCAUUAAUAUUGAUAUAUUUAUAUUGAUGGCCAAUAAAAAGAAAAUAUUAAGAUGGGUAAAAGAACACAGACACUGGAGAGAGGAACUCUGCCUAGAAGGCCAGCAUCCCGGAGUCGCCUCUUCACUGUUGAUGUUGAGACUGGUGUUUUGCGGGUACUAUUUAAUGAAGCUGCCAGUUGAGGACUUGUGAGGCAUCUGUUUCUCAAACUAGACGCUCUAAUGUACUUGUCCUCUUGCUCAGUUGUGCACCGGGGCCUGCCACUCCUCUUUCUAUUGUGGUUAGAGCCUGUUGGCGCUGUUCUGUGAAGGGAGUAGUACACAGCAUUGUACGAGAUCUUCAAUUUCUUGCCAAUUUCUCGCAUGGAAUAGCCUUCAUUUCUCAGAACAAGAAUAGACUGAUGAGUUUCAGAAGAAAGUUCUUUGUUUCUGGCCAUUUUGAGCCUGUAAUCGAACCCACAAAUGCUGAUGCUCAAGUAGUCUAAAGAAGGCCUGUUUUAUUGCUUCUUUAAACAGAACAACAGUUUUCAGCUGUGCUAACAUAAUUCCAAAAAGGUUUUCUAACGAUUUAUUAGCCUUUUAAAAUGAUAAACUUGGGGUAGCUAACACAACGUGCCACUGGAACACAGGAGUGAUGAUUGCUGAUAAUGGGCCUCUGUACGCCUAUGUAGAAAUUCCAUUAAAAAUCAGCCGUUUCCAGCUACAAUAGUAAUUUACAACAUUAACAAUGUCUACACUGUAUUUCUGAUCAAUUUGAUGUUAUUUUAAUGGACCAAAAAAUUGCUUUUCUUUAAAAAUCAAGGAAAGUUCUAAGUGACCCCAAACUUUAGAACGGGAGUGUACAUCUCUGUCAAAUUGUUAAUUUCAUGCCUAAGGAUAAAGAAAGGGUUAUACCUGUAUUUUGUUUAUUGGUCAUAUAUGCAAUUAGGUCCACAGUGUAAUGUUUAUAAAUAGUAUUACAUGUACUGUAGGUAGGAGACAAAUUAUAAUUUUAUAGAUUGUUAUCACUUCUAAUGAUGAAUAAAUAAUGAUUGCAUUGCAUAAAUCCUAAUUCAGUAUGGUUAUUGGCUUUAUAUCAAUUGUGAGAGGUUUGCGUCAAUUACAACAUGUAAGGAGGCGUUCAAAUUCCUCAAAAUAUUAACGCAGGGGAGUUUUGACUUCUUCGAAUUUCCCUGUGAAGAAAGGAGCCGUGUCUUCUUUCAAAGCCCAGAUUGUUCCAUCCUAGUCCUGAGGCAAAGGCCAGAACACACUCUUUCAGUGCUCAGAGCAUGUGACACAAACACAAGCCACUGCUCAAUAUUUGUUUGUGUUAACAUUACCAAUGUAUCUCCUUGGCUUGAACAAGCCCUUUGGUAGGGAGUUCACAUAAUGUCAUGCCUACAAUUUGUGCUUCUCACAGAUGGCCUUGAGUGCACAAUUAAGUUGUUUUGCACCAAGGUCCGCUCACAGCCCCUGUGUGUGUAUCACUUUCCUGUUAAAUUCCAGCUGACUGGAAUCACUGAAUACACUGUAAAAAAAAAAAGGUGAUAGUUCUACUUUUUUUAAAUUAACUGUUUGCCUCAGCUUUUUGAGUAUUUA
rnacentral:lncRNA from 1 species